rnacentral:misc_RNA from 1 species
GAUGAAGAACGUAGCGAAAUGCGAUACUUGGUGUGAAUUGCAGAAUCCCGUGAACCAUCGAGUCUUUGAACGCAAGUUGCGCCCGAAGCCAUCAGGUUGAGGGCACGUCUGCCUGGGCGUCACAUAUCGUUGCCCAAUGCCUAUUGCAGUGCAAUAGGAAUUUCUAGGGCGAAUGAUGGCUUCCCGUGAGCGUUGUUGCCUCGCGGUCGGUUGAAAAUCGAGUCCUUGGUAGGGUGUGCCAUGGUAGAUGGUGGUCGAGUUAGAACGAUACCGAUCAUGUGCAUGCUCCCCAAAAUAUGGCCUCUAUGACCCACACGCGUCUUUUGACGCUCAUGACGAGACCUCAGGUCAGGCGGGGCUACCCGCUGAAUUUAAGCAUAUCAAUAAGCGGAGGA